GUAACCAUUGGCAACGCGACUACCUCGCUUUACGGCGUUUGAAGAACACGCCCAGAAAUCGCUGAAAAAUAUUCUAACAAGUGUCUAGCUCAUUUGAAGAGCGAGCUUGGGAGGAUGACCAAAAAACAAAAGCAAACCACAAGUUUCACACCUCCCCAGCCGAGGUCACUCAGGUCAAGGAAGAGAAAGUGCAGUGAUGAGUCAGAGGAGAGCGCCCCUCUGAGAGACAGUGGAAGCACAGCCCUCACACCUAGAACAGCAGGACACUGAGGGAACAGUGUUAAACACCACCUCUCCUCCUAAAGAUCCCCACUGCCCUCUGACAGCCUGUACUACUCAUCCAUCUCAGCAGGCUAACAAAGCGGGAGAUACCACUGCACCCAAGCAAGAGGGGGAUCCAGUGGAGGAAAGUCCGGUUGUGACUGGCUUUGAGGGAGAACAAGCCAUUGGAGGGGCUGUGGAGGGGGCGGGCACAGAGGAGUCAGUUCCAACCAAUCAGGAUGACCAUAGUGUGGAGUACUCUGUCAAAGAUGACGAGGGUAGAGAAGAAGAAGACAUCAAGACACAGAGUUUCCUUAGCUUCCCCCCACACCCACUGACUGUAGCACAGCCCCAACCCCAGCCCUCCCUGCUUCCCUCCAAGGAGGUCAACGUUGGGGACGGCGACAGUCAAACCGACAAGGAAGAGGAGCAGUGUGGAGAGAAGAACCCAAAGCCCAAUAUGGAGGAGCUCGACAGUGAACAGCAGGAGGCUAUAGAUGACAGAGGUGUUUGUCUGGGUGGUGGGA